UUUUCUAAUUGAAAUCUCAAACUGUGUUUCUAUUAGCAGACAAACCCUGAGUGUUUCCUCUGGGGAAACAAACCCGGGCAAGGUACAGGGCUUAGGACGACACGACCCAGACCGCCGUCCGGCUGUCCGCCCCCGCCGGGCGGCUGGGGUUCCGAGUGUGGAACAGAACUGAGAACUCCGUGCCCGGAGCUGCUGUCCCGAGGGCUGAUGUCACACAGCCCAGGUCUGACGGGGUGAGGGACUCGGAGGGGGCCUGUUUGCUCCGCGGGCUCUGGCUGAGGGCUGCUCCUGAGCGACAGCUGGGCCCAGUGGGGGCAGUCACAUCCCCCCAGGGAUCCGGGGGCCAGGCGUUGGUUGCUGCAGGGCCCUGCUCUCUAGUUCACGUCUUUCUCUUUUUCAUCCAUGUCUCGGGCCGUCGGCCUCAUGCAGGUGCGGACGACGGGGCCCCGGGAAGCGUGCCUGCCGCCCGCCAGUGUCCGGGAGGGCUCCUCUCCCCGCCGCUGCCCAGCCUCCGUGAGGCCCGGCUCCUCCAGGCUCAGAGUGUGUGGCUGAGCAGAGUGUGCACGCCAGGUAAACUGCGUUUGGAGGAAGUCCAUGGGAUUUCGGAGGGAAACGGCAGAGGAGGGUGUGUGGCCUACAGGAUGAGGGACAAGGCCCUUGGGGACACCAGGGCCUGGUCUGCGCAGCACACUCCUGUCUCUGAGCCUGGGGGAGGGAUUGGCUGGAAGCUUCCAGACUCUCCUUAAGUGCUCAGGUGGCAUCACCCAGUUGUCAGUGGGAGAACUGAAAGCACUUCUCCUGCAAUACACAUUGUCCGCCCGAUGGGUGUGCACGGUCUCCGCAGUGCACUGCACACGGAACAUCUGGAAAGAGGCCGUCCUAAGUUAUCCCCACAGAAGGUCUUUAAGCCGAAGGGGCCGCUGGGAGUCAAGUCUGACUUGGAAAGUGAGCACGCUUUGGCGUUUGGGGGGGGAACCACCUGCUGGUUCCUUACAGCUGCACGCUACUGCCUGGGUCUGGGGAGAGGUUUUCACACUCUCUGUCCCCUGCCCGUCUUCUCUGUGACUUCCCGUUUGUCGCUUGUCAUCCACGAAUCACCCCUCACCCCACGCUGGGCUGGCUGGGCUCUGAGACCUCCCUGGGAGACGCCGCCGUGGGUCACAGGCAGGAGACUCUGUGCUUUGGGGGUCGUUCUCCCUCCCUGGAGGGAGCACACUCAGGUUGCUGCACGGCCGUGGGGGGAGAGGAGGGGAGCCCCGGUCACUGCCUGCCCGCCCCCCUCUGCCCAGGUGCGUGCUUGACCUUGGCGCCAUGAUUGAGAGGGUGGACGUCGAUACGAUGUUGCUCAUCUGUGGCAGCUUGCUGAUCAUCGCCUUCUUCCUCCUGUGCUGUUUCCUCUGCGUUUACUGCAAGCUGGCCAGCGUCUUGAGGAAACUGUGACGACCGGCGGCGCUGACCCCGGAGGCCAGCGACUGGGAGCGGGAGGAGGCCAUGCCGAGGCGCUGCCCUCUCCGCACUGGCCACUGUCUGUGCCCCCCGACCCGCUGCAGAGGGUGACGCCGCAGAGACGGUCCCCCAGAGAGGUGGGCCCCCCCGUGCCCCGGGGCCGCGGGCCGCGCCCUGAAGUACAGGCGUCCAUGCCGAGCUCAGCUGCCUCCUGACUCCGUUCUUCCAGGUGGUCAGGGCCCCCAAAGGCGGGGGCUGCGCUGUCCCUGGCCCCCAGCCCCAGUGCAGGGCCCAGACUCAGCAGGUGUCGGGGGUUGGGGGAGGGCAGGGAGGGCGACCGCACUGACCUUUGUCAGUAAACCUCGGACCUCAAGACACAGCAGCAACCCCGAGCCGUGUCGGUUUGCCUAUCGGUGAGAGCGUGCGGCACGCUGCCCACUGGUCACCAGCGCUGCCCUCCCGACCCGCUCCGGGGCAGCGGGGGCACCGCCCCGAGCUGCAGUGGAGACACCCAGGAGGGCCGCGCUCAGGCCUCUGUUGGGGGAGCUCAGAGGGCAGGAGGGAGUCCUGGGCAACUGGGACCCGGCCCUGGGAGUCUUGUUUCCAACCCUCCUCCUGGGGCCACGCUCCUUCCCUGCCUGAGCUUCCAGAAGCUUCUGGGCCGCUACCUUCCUUCUCGUUCCCAGCAAAGAAGUCCAGGCACAGCCCAUCAUGGGAGGGCUGGUUCUCAUCCCCACCCCAUCCACACUUCAGGGGUCCUCAUCGGUGGCAGCUGUGCAGGGGGGCGGGGGGCGGGGCCCUGCAGAGCAGGGGGAGAAGAGUGACCGGGUUCCCGGGGCUUGUUUGCUCCGUGUGGGGAACUCUGUGUGACUCACACUCACGGGCUUUUCACCGAGUCCGGGGCGUGGACUGCGUGCCCCCCCGUGACUGACGUCGGGACGGAGAGGGCCGUCCCCAUCCUCUGCCCAGAUACCCCCAACACCUGCAAAGAGCGCAUCUCCGGUGACUGGAGGGAGGGGCCCAGUUCCCCGAGCGCGUGGCCCCGGGCUCGCCCGAGACCGGCCGGGCUCCAUCUCUGGGCCGGGCAGCCGGCUGCUCUCCCUCUCCGAGUCCAGUCGGCCUCCAGGCCCCCGGGGUCAGGGGUGCUCCGGCCGAAGGCCUGUGGUCCCAGCAGCCCUACUAAGUGGAGGGAGGGCGUCCGACUCCCCUGCACAGACACCCUCACAGAAGCUCCUGCAGCUCUGGGUCAGCGGGUCUGUGCCCGGCCCCGCCCCACUCGGUCCCGAGGGUGGCCCUGGGUUCCGCCGCCCAGUUUCUUUGUAUUGUGGACCCACCUGGUGGGGCGGCCUGGGGAGACGUCAUAGGGAAGGCCCGUCACUAACCCUGACUGCAGAGAGGGGUGAAAAGACGGGUUCUUCCCUAAGGGCUGCGUGUACCUCCCAAGCAGGGUCGUGCCUGCCAACAGGACUAAAGGAACAGUUGCCGGGGCGACCGUGUUGCUUCAGCUUUUGUAGCUUUUAUCAGUAGUUUUUGAAAUGGAGACUUCUAGUGCUGUUAAGGACAGUAAGGUCUUUUUGUCAGUUACAUUUGAAACUUCCUGAUUACACAAAUCCCCAAUCUACAAAUAAUAAAUGAAAUCACACCGUUCAAAACUGUUGAUUUUUUAUAGAUUCAGUAAUAAGUGUAUGAGGAACUUCAGGUAUCCAAAGAUUUCCCUUGUUGAUGUUUACGAGGAAAUUGAUGUUUGCCAAUUCAACUCAAUUAUUUUAUUAUUUAGGAUUCGAUUUGAUUGCAACAGGAAUCUCAAAAUAAUGGUGGCUCACACAGAAGUAGUUCACAUUUCUCUUACACUCAGGGAGUUCAGUAGCAUCCCAGGGGCAUCUGGUUCAGCUAAGCUUCCUUGCCCAAGGUCAU